UUAUAUUCUAUGCUCGUGACCACGCCCAAAUCCACGAACUGUAAAAUAAAACCAAUACAAAGAUUUAGAAUUAGAUACAAAUAUUUAUAAUCAUUCUAUAAUUGGAGAGUUUAAAAGCCAAUCGUAUAACAGUACAAGUCAUAUUCUCUGAAAAUAAUUUAACAAUUUCUUCAUUGUUUUAACUUUCACUUGACAAAUCAAUCAACUAUAUUUCAGAAAUGAAUCAGAAUUCAGAAUUUCAUUAUUCGAUAAAAAUUUCGUAUCGAACAUUAAGAAAACAAUUACGAAAUUCCAUAAAAAUAUUAAGUUAUUAAAAAGAUUACAUUAAAGGUAUAAAUAACAAAUAGUUUAUUUGUAACAAAAUUUAAAUUGAUAAAUAAAUAAGAAAUGAAUUAGUUAUAACAAAAUAUACACUAGAUACGUAUAACGUCAAUAGAAUAUUUCAAUUAUAAUAAUCUUAACCUAACUUUUCGGCGAGGAAGACGAUAUCGAAGUGUGACGAGCUGUUGUAAUCCAUAACAAUAAAAUCUAAGUUAUUUAACUUUCGAUGAAUGCUUACAAAAUAUCUUUCAAAAAUUUGCAGAAUUUUCGAUUUGCAAUAGAAAGCGCGAAGCAUACUGUGACAAGGUGAGAAGAUUUCGAAAGGUUAGAAUUUUUCACGCGCAGCUCUCCAUACGCAGGCUGUUUCACAGCUUGUACCGGCGCUAUCGCCGUGUCUUUUUUCCAUCCUCGAUCGGCGUGUGUCUCUUUGCGUGGGUAUAGCUCCGCCUAUGCAUUCCUUUCUGCGACCGGAAGUCGAGAGAAAACCGAGUACCUGAGCAUUGCGCGUCGUCAGGGCCGACUCGGACGUAGGUACGGUUUUCGUCGUGAAUACCAGCGAGGAUCGGUGUGGACCGAGUAGGUAGAUACGCGGAUACGUAGGUUGUUGGAUACUGUGGGACGUUGUACACGCAGUGAUCUACAAGUUUUGAUUAAGCUUCGAUUUGGGGUAUCAUCUCUUUUCUAAACUUUCUUUUUGCAUUUUCCGAUAAUAUUCAAUGAAUACAAAUAAAACGAUGAUUUUGAAUCUGGAAAUAGAUUGGUUCAAAGUUAUCUAAUCUAACCUAACCUAAUUGGUAUAACCUAUUUAAGAUAUAAUAAAAGACUCAAAAAAUACGAAUCGCUUUUGUUAAUCGGAUCGACGACGUCAUAAGUAUUCACAUAAUUAAUCUUGAAUUUCAUCAUUGUAAAAAUAAUCUUUUUUUCUUAUUCAAUUAUUUGCAGGAUACCUAUAAGAUGUCAAUAAUCUUAUUUAAUAUAAUCUCAUUAAAUCUAAUCUAACAUAAUUUAUACGAUAGAUUAAAUAUUGAAUAUUGAAUAUGAAAUUUUAAUCUUUAAAUCAAUUUUUAAAUUCAAAAUCAAUAUAUUUUAUCCUCUAUUCAUCGAGUAUUAAAAGAUAUAAAAUAAACUUUAAAAAAAAGUCUAAUACCUUAACACGAAGUAGUGGAAAUUUAGACAAAGUUUUUUCGUGAAACUUUAUUUAAUAUCACGAAAUCUUACGUGGAAGAAAAUAUAUUUGUGAAAAAAAAAUAUGUAUACGUAUCUGGAUAUUGUUGAAACAAAACUAACCACCAGAGUGCACUAGUCUCGAUACAUGAAAAAUAAAAGUGUAUAGGUUACAGAAGAAAAGAUUUUUAUUUUUAAUUACUUUUCUUAUAAAAUUGUCCUCAUUCAAGUUAUUUAGUGUUUAUUUUUCCUAUAUAUACAUAUAUACAAAUAUAUUUAUAUUACGUUCAUUAUAAAAGUGUUGUUUAACUGUUAUUUUUUUUUUUUUUUUUUACAUUACUAUCUUCUAACCUCAACAAGAAUGAAUGUUCAAAAAGAAGAUUCAAGGGGAAAUAUAUAUGUAUGAAAUAAUAAUAAUAUAAAAUUAUUAUAUUCGGAUUUAAGAACACCGUAUAGAAUGGUAAGAAAGCUCGAGCAUGUCGUUUAGAAUCGCGUUAUUGCCGUAACACACCUGCAGCUGCAAGAGCGCCAAGUGGGCGAUAAACCCGGACGCAAGUUUGCUUGGGGACACGCGCAGAUUGCCGCUUAUCCUUUUUAAAGAAUUGCGACUCUAAUUACGGUAAUUAAUGAUUACCUCCUCCGAAGGGUUUUAAUCUAUUCAAAAGCCUUCCUCGAUGAAAUUUUGUAACAUCGAAAAGCUUAUUUAUAAAAGAUGUUACUCUUAUUGGAGAAAUUUUAUUGUAAAAUGAUAAUAUCUGAAAAAGAACAUCAAGGAGUAAAGGGAUGAGACUGAAGCGAGGUCGAAAGAAGCAGAAGCAAGCAUGGUAUCAAUCGAUGGACAAUGACCGGUCGUGUAUUUCGAAACCCACGCCACGAAAGAGCAAUAUGCCCACACACACGCUUAUAGUUCGAAUCGAACCACGAGGUCUCUCGUUUCUUUAUCCCUAUAACAUGCUCUCUCUCUCUCUCUUUUCUCCUAUAUUCUUCUCGUUCCUCCGUUCCUGGUUACUUUUAUGGUGUUGUACGAUCGUCCGAUUUUCGACACCCUGCGCGUCCUACCGCAUGCAUUACCAUAUACAGAAUAUAUAUAUAUACAUACAAAUAUGGUGCAUCUUUAAAGAAUUGAUUUUAAACGUUGAAACAAAUAAAAAAAAUUGAUAUAUAUUGAAAUAUCGAUUGAAGUUUAUUUUUCAAAUUAUAACCAAGAAUUUUAUAAACUGAAUAUAAUGAUAAUAUUUAGGUAAUAUUAAGAAAUUAUUGCUCUAUAUGUAUAUUUUCUUUUUACUAUAGUUAUAGUUAGUUUGUUAAAUUCAUCGUUUCUUUUAUACAAUACAAAAACACUCUUUGUAAUUAGUAAAACAAAUUUAACACAACUUUUAUUAAAGCUUUUAUUCAAAGCAAGUGUAUAAAUAUAUCAUAUCACAUAUGUACAAAAUUAUAAUGAUAUAAUUGUA